rnacentral:rRNA from 1 species
CGAUGGAGGGGGAUAACUACUGGAAACGGUAGCUAAUACCGCAUAACGUCGCAAGACCAAAGAGGGGGACCUUCGGGCCUCUUGCCAUCGGAUGUGCCCAGAUGGGAUUAGCUAGUAGGUGGGGUAACGGCUCACUUAGGCGACGAUCCCUAGCUGGUCUGAGAGGAUGACCAGCCACACUGGAACUGAGACACGGUCCAG